GCUGGGCGUGGUGGCGCGCGCCUGUAAUCCCAGCUACUUGGGAGACUGAGGCAGGAGAAUCGCUUGAACCCAGGAGGCGAAGGUUGCAGUGAGCCAAGAUUGUGCCACUGCAUCCAGCUUGGGUGACAGAGCGAGACUCUGUCUCAA
ensembl:misc_RNA Metazoa_SRP Metazoan signal recognition particle RNA